AUGAACGCUGGCGGCGUGCCUAAAACAUGCCAGUCGAGCGAACAGACGAGGAGCUUGCUCCUCUGACGUUAGCGGCGGACGGGUGAGUAACACGUGGAUAACCUACCUAUAAGACUGGGAUAACUUCGGGAAACCGGAGCUAAUACCGGAUAAUAUAUUGAACCGCAUGGUUCAAUAGUGAAAGACGGUUUUGCUGUCACUUAUAGAUGGAUCCGCGCCGCAUUAGCUAGUUGGUAAGGUAACGGCUUACCAAGGCGACGAUGCGUAGCCGACCUGAGAGGGUGAUCGGCCACACUGGAACUGAGACACGGUCCAGACUCCUACGGGAGGCAGCAGUAGGGAAUCUUCCGCAAUGGGCGAAAGCCUGACGGAGCAACGCCGCGUGAGUGAUGAAGGUCUUCGGAUCGUAAAACUCUGUUAUUAGGGAAGAACAAAUGUGUAAGUAACUAUGCACGUCUUGACGGUACCUAAUCAGAAAGCCACGGCUAACUACGUG
rnacentral:rRNA from 1 species